GACGAACGCUGGCGGCGUGCUUAACACAUGCAAGUCGAACGGAAAGGCCCUGCUUUUGUGGGGUGCUCGAGUGGCGAACGGGUGAGUAACACGUGAGUAACCUGCCCUUGACUUUGGGAUAACUUCAGGAAACUGGGGCUAAUACCGGAUAGGAGCUCCUGCUGCAUGGUGGGGGUUGGAAAGUUUCGGCGGUUGGGGAUGGACUCGCGGCUUAGCAGCUUGUUGGUGGGGUAGUGGCUUACCAAGGCUUUGACGGGUAGCCGGCCUGAGAGGGUGACCGGCCACAUUGGGACUGGGGUACGGCCCAGACGCCUACGGGGGGCAGGAGUGGGGAAUAUUGCACAAUGGGCGGAGGCCUGAUGCAGCAACGCCGCGUGCGGGAGGACGGCCUUCGGGUUGGAAACCGCUUUCGCCUGUGACGAAGCGUGAGUGACUGUAAUGGGUAAAGAAGCACCGGCUAACUACGU
rnacentral:rRNA from 1 species